GGUGAGUACAGAAAGUUAGACCAGAUCGAACCAUAACAUAUGUAGGACUGGCGAUGGUUUCUGAUAUAAGAAUUUCAGCUUUUCAUACAGUGGAUUAAAAGCAUGGCAAAAUAGGGAAGAGAAAUAAACAUUUCACAAGUUUUUGAUACUUACAGAAGCAUGUUGAAUACUUUGAUGGCUUUUGACCAUGGCCUUCCUUAAUGAUUUGCUUUUUUACUUCUUCAUGAAGAAUUUCCAUAUCAGAUUCAACUUUCGGAGGUCCAGCAGCAUCUUGAGGUGGUUCCCCAUGCACAAAUGCAGUAUUUUCAGUAACUAUUUCAUUCUCCUCAACAAUUUCCAUAUCAGAUUCAACUUUCGGAGGUCCAGCAGCAUCUUGAGGUGGUUUCCCAUGCACAAAUGCAGUAUUUUCAGUACCUAUUUCAUUCUUAUCAUCUUCACCUGAGAUGAACAUACUUAUAAACUUCGUUACCCGGACUCGGCAAUUUGGGGUGCAGUACCUGUGCCGACACGAUCCGACACGGGAUACGG
rnacentral:lncRNA from 1 species